CCCUAGCCCCGGUAGUAGCGGCAUCCUUUUGUGGCUUUCUUUAAGCCACAAAAGAUAGAGCGGAUGACGGGAAUAGCU
rnacentral:sRNA from 1 species